rnacentral:lncRNA from 1 species
AUCCCAGUUCCCAUUUUACCCCUUCAGGACCCUCAAAAAUUUUUUUCGGGACAUACCAAAAAACAUUUUCCGGACCGACCCAAAAACUUGCCAGUAAACAUACGAAAAUUUUGCCGGACAUAAAAAUAUUUUCCCUAACAUCACGUUAUUUUCGCAACUAUACAAAAAUUUUUUCACUGCAUAUCAUAUUUUUCUGAAAUUUUAAUGUUUUGCCCGAAUGUCGCAUUGAUUUUUGCCCGACCGCAGAAUUUUUUUUUUUUUGGGGGGGGGCACGUGCCCCCCCCCCCCGCCCCAUACGCCCAUGGAAACAACAUCUCUCCGUUGCAACACGUGGUUGCAAUUAACGCAUGCUAUCACCUCUGCAUGAUAAUAGCGUUCCUAAAACUUAAAAUGUACGGAUUAACGGAUAGGUGUUUUUUUCACGUCGCUACAGGAAGCUAUCCGGUACAGUGUAAACGUAUUUACCGCACGUACCGACCAGCAAAACCUGUCAUCAACUCUCAUCAAAUUUGAACCAGCCCAAAGUCGAUGAGAUUGAAUAGUACGUGAAAGUCGAUGAGAGAUGGCUGUCAACUCUCAUCAAUGACCUAGCUACACCCUAGCGGAAGAAGUCAUUUCGCUGACCUCAGAAUGACAUUUCGUCAAAACUUUUUUCUUCAAGAUAAGUUUAAAAUCAAACGUGGAGUAGGGUUUACCCUGGAUUUCAGAGCCUUCGACAGUAAAUUAUAAAUUGAAACGUCGCGAAGGCUCUGGUUCAUCGGGGAGAUUCUUUGAUUAAACCGCGCCAAUCACAAAACAGAAUUAGUGGUUUUAGUACAG